rnacentral:rRNA from 1 species
AGAGUUUGAUCCUGGCUCAGAACGAACGCUGGCGGCGUGGAUAAGACAUGCAAGUCGAGCGAGAUUUUUCGUUGUAGCAAUACGAUGGAAAGUCUAGCGGCGAACGGGUGCUUAACACGUGGGCAACCUGCCAUGAAGUGGGGGAUAGCUCGCCGAAAGGCGAAUUAAUACCGCAUGUGAUUAGAGAGGACAUCCUUUCGAAAUUAAAGUCGGGGCAACCUGACGCUUCUUGUGGGGCCCGCGGCCUAUCAGCUAGUUGGUGAGGUAACGGCUCACCAAGGCUUUGACGGGUAGCUGGUCUGAGAGGACGACCAGCCACACUGGGACUGAGACACGGCCCAGACACCUACGGGUGGCAGCAGUCGAGAAUUUUUGACAAUGGGGGAAACCCUGAUCGAGCGACGCCGCGUGGAGGAUGAAGGUCUUCGGAUUGUAAACUCCUGUCAUUGGGGAACAAGGUGCAUACGUUAACUGCGUGUGCAUUGAUAGUACCCGAAGAGGAAGAGACGGCUAACUCUGUGCCAGCAGCCGCGGUAAUACAGAGGUCUCAAGCGUUGUUCGGAUUCAUUGGGCGUAAAGGGUGCGUAGGUGGCAAAGUAAGUUGGAUGUGAAAUCCUGGGGCUUAACCUCAGAAUUGCAUUCAAUACUGCUUAGCUAGAGAGCUGUAGAGGAGACUGGAAUUUACGGUGUAGCAGUGAAAUGCGUAGAUAUCGUAAGGAACGCCAGUGGCGAAAGCGAGUCUCUGGGCAGCAUCUGACACUGAGGCACGAAGGCCAGGGGAGCAAACGGGAUUAGAUACCCCCGUAGUCC